UUUUUUUUUCCUUUUUUUUUUUUUUGAGACAAGGUCUCACCCUGUCACCCAGGCUGGAGUGAAGUGGCACAAUCUCAGCUCACUGCAACCUCCACCUCCCCGGUUCAAGCGAUUCUCCCACCUCAGCCUCCUGAGUAGCUGAGACUACAGGUGUGCACCACCACACCUGGCUAAUUUUUGCAUUUUUUGGUAGUGAUGGAAUUUCUUUCAUCAUGUUGGCCAGGUUAGCACCCAUUUUUUCUAAAUGGGAAAAUGGAGACUCAGAGGUGGCAUGAGUUAAUAAGUGGAGGAGCCUGGAUUUUAUUUCAGGUCUGUCUGGCUGCAGAGACCAAUACUGUUGUGGCACAGCCCUUUCCCCAGGGUUAUAGGGAAUCCCCCUAAUCCUUGAAUCGGGCUGGCAGAAGCUUCUUCCUUCUCUGGCUUGCCAGAAACCAAUAAUCUGUAGUCUGAAAAAAUGACACAUGUAUCCCUGAGGCCUAAGAAUACUCUCAAUUAAAAUUGCAUUUUUAAAUCACAAUUAUAACAUUGUAUUGUUUGAUUUCAGAAUACUUGUGUUGUUAAGUUGUUUCCGAGAGUUAAACCUCAGGCUAGGCUACUUUAGUCAGAUUUAUGUGACUCACUUAAUGCAGUAUAAUACAAUGAUAUCAUGAUUUGCAAUCCUGUGGUACAUAAUAAACGUAAUUGGCACAUGUGAGUGAAGGAAGCUUGUAUUGAAAGGGACUUAUUUAUAAUGGAUUCUGGGGAUUAACCAUAGGAAUGAAGGGAUUUACUGAAAGUGGAAGGUUAAUUUCAGGUCAUAAAAAAUAUUUGCAUAGCAACACCAUGUGUUUAAUUGGUAGUCGCAUGAAGAAUCAUCAAAACAUCCAGCGAAUGAAUGCAUUAAAAUUACCUAUCAGGGUGCUUUCUGUUGCAAGUGACUCAAAUUGGUUUGAACAUGGGCUUACAGGAUUUAUUUACUAAACUGUCCAGGGGUAGAUCUGACUGGACUCAAGAACUCAAAAGCUGUGUUCAGGACCUUGUUUCUCUCUUCAUUUCAGGGCCCUGCUUACUUUAUGUUGAAUCCAUUUUCACAGACUCUCCUCUGUGGUCCCAAGAUGGCAACUGCCAGCUUCUAGCUUUUGUGGCUACAGACUUCUUGGUUGGUGUUAACAGGAAAAAGUAAAGGGCCUUUGUUUAGUUUUCAUUAAGGCUUAUUGGUCCUCAAUGGGUCAUGUGCUUAUCCCUGAGCUAAUCACUAUAGCCAGGGGAGUGGGAUGCACUGAUUGGCACAGCCCUAGGUCACAUGCUCCAACCUUGAGUCCAGAGGUUGAAAGUGAGUAGAUCCUACAGGAAAAAAGGGUGGGGCUAUCAGAAGUGUGAAUGAAAGAUGGGAAGCAAAACCAGCGAAUUCCAUUUUAGUCUGAUUUAGGAAAUUCUGAGGUGGGUUCAAAGAAGGGAUUCAGGGGUCUGUGGGUUCCCUGACAUUGUAGUUACAAGUUUGUGUUAAUGUCCAUUUUUCAGGGAGAGGAGCCAUGCUUUGAUUAGAUUAUCAAAAGGGUCCAUGACCCAAAAGAGUUAGCUA
ensembl:lncRNA